CCUACGGGGGGCUGCAGUGGGGAAUAUUGGACAAUGGGGGCAACCCUGAUCCAGCCAUGCCGCGUGUGUGAAGAAGGCCCUCGGGUUGUAAAGCACUUUCAGUGAGGAAGAACGCCUGGUGGUUAAUACCCAUCAGGAAAGACAUCACUCACAGAAGAAGCACCGGCUAACUCCGUGCCAGCAGCCGCGGUAAUACGGAGGGUGCGAGCGUUAAUCGGAAUUACUGGGCGUAAAGCGCGCGUAGGUGGCUUGAUAAGCCGGUUGUGAAAGCCCCGGGCUCAACCUGGGAACGGCAUCCGGAACUGUCAAGCUAGAGUGCAGGAGAGGAAGGUAGAAUUCCCGGGGUAGCGGUGAAAUGCGUAGAGAUCGGGAGGAAUACCAGUGGCGAAGGCGGCCUUCUGGACUGACACUGACACUGAGGUGCGAAAGCGUGGGUAGCAAACAGGAUUAGAUACCCGAGUAGUC
rnacentral:rRNA from 1 species